rnacentral:rRNA from 1 species
UGGGGAAUAUUGGACAAUGGGCGAAAGCCUGAUCCAGCAAUGCCGCGUGUGUGAAGAAGGUCUUCGGAUCGUAAAGCACUUUCGACAGGGACGAUGAUGACGGUACCUGUAGAAGAAGCCCCGGCUAACUUCGUGCCAGCAGCCGCGGUAAUACGAAGGGGGCUAGCGUUACUCGGAAUUACUGGGCGUAAAGGGCGCGUAGGCGGCUUGGCCAGUCAGGCGUGAAAUUCCUGGGCUUAACCUGGGGACUGCGCUUGAUACUGCCAGGCUUGAGGCCGAGAGAGGGUGGUGGAAUUCCCAGUGUAGAGGUGAAAUUCGUAGAUAUUGGGAAGAACACCGGUGGCGAAGGCGACCACCUGGCUCGGUACUGACGCUGAGGCGCGACAGCGUGGGGAGCAAACA